CUGAUACAACAACCUGGAGGGUCUUUUGAAACGAGAUGAUUUCGGACAGUAAAAGUGAGCACAGCUGAUAGUGCCUGACAGAAAGAGAAGAGCAAUGGCAGGGUAUUUACCAACAUCACCAAAACCAGGAAAGACCAGGAGAUGGAGUCUGGAUGAACCUCCAACUCUGACAUCCUCCAGUGGUGCUGUAGACGAGGAGUCUCCAAGUUCUGUGGAUCUGGAAGUGUUGACGGAUCCAGUCUCCACUGACAAAUGCCUGAAAGAAAGUCAGCAUUGCAGCUGCUUAGUGUGUAAACGGAAAUACAGUAA